AAUGAGAAAUAAGAAUUGGACAGAGGGGGAAGUUGAACGUCAGUGUGCAAUUCUAACAGGUCUUAGCCAGUCCUUCAAGAGCCCAGGAGCUAGAAUGGCUCUUCCAAGUUUUCCAGAAUUGAGACAAAAAGGCCAGGUCUUCGUACAUCUGCAUAGACCAGUUCUUUGAUGUGAGCUAACUCCAGUAAGAGGGUAUAACCUUGAGCAAAGCAGCUCCCUUUAUUCUAGAGCAAUCUCCAAAGUGGUACUCAGCCAUGAAAUGUCUACAGCCAAUACUUCUCGCAGGUGUGGAAAUGCACGCUUCAGACCUGAAGGGGCAACGCAGAAGGCAUACCACAGCAUCCACCACAUGCUUCCACAACAAUAAAAAAUAGUUUGGAUAUUACUUAGCUUAAUAGUUCGAAGAUGUGUCUGUAAAAGUCAGCAUAAUGUUCAGUGACCAGCAACUGCUGAGAUGGUAGCUGCUUCGUCAGGUACAUGAGUCCUCAGUUGACCCACAUGGAUAUAUUGUUGUUUCUGUUUCUACAGCAAAACCUAGCCUUCCCUGACAUCCAAAUCUCCAAAGGACAAGUUGUAUGUGAAAAUGAAGACCAAACUAGGUCAUUUCAAACCUCAGUCACCUUCAGAGAGAUUCUAGGAAGGGCACACUAAGAGUCAGCAAAGAGACGACAUUCCUGGAUUCCUGACUUGUUGUCCAGAUCUGCUACUGAAUCAGAUUCAGCUGGGUGGCGAGUGCGGAGUGGGUACUGCUACUGGCAUCUGGUGGGUAGAGGCCACGGACACUGCUUAACAUUCUACAGUGCACAGGAGAGGUCCCUACAACAGAGAAAUAUUCUCCCGAAAGUUUCAGUAGUGCUAAGUUUGAGUAAUUCUGCUCUUCACCAUCAAGUUUCCUUCUCUUGGAGCCUGCUACCAGCCAAUGACAUCAGGAUCUAACCUGAGACGAACCUAGGUGUUCUAUACGGCAGCCUGGUGUACUGAAGAGUGCCUAAGGUUUGCAAGCUCGCUAGCUGUGGCUCCCCCUCUCGCUAGCUUGAGCUAGUUAUUUAAACCCUUAGA
rnacentral:lncRNA from 1 species